AUUGAACGCUGGCGGCAGGCCUAACACAUGCAAGUCGAACGGUAGCACAGAGAGCUUGCUCUCGGGUGACGAGUGGCGGACGGGUGAGUAACGUCUGGGAAACUGCCCGAUGGAGGGGGAUAACUACUGGAAACGGUAGCUAAUACCGCAUAACGUCGCAAGACCAAAGUGGGGGACCUGCGGGCCUCACACCAUCGGAUGUGCCCAGAUGGGAUUAGCUAGUAGGGGGGGUAAUGGCUCACCUAGGCGACGAUCCCUAGCUGGUCUGAGAGGAUGAGCAGACACACUGGAACUGAGACACGGUCCAGACUCCUACGGGAGGCAGCAGUGGGGAAUAUUGCACAAUGGGCGCAAGCCUGAUGCAGCCAUGCCGCGUGUAUGAAGAAGGCCUUCGGGUUGUAAAGUACUUUCAGCGGGGAGGAAGGCGGUGAAGUUAAUAGCUUCACCGAUUGACGUUACCCGCAGAAGAAGCACCGGCUAACUCCGUGCCAGCCGCCGCAGUAAUAC
rnacentral:rRNA from 1 species